UUUUGCUUUUGGGCUGAAAUGUAAUCUGGACAUGUUUUUGCGAAAUCUUCCUGUUCAUUUUCUAUCUCACUGUGUGUCUGCAAUUUUGUCCCGCCUCUGUUUCCACCUUCUUUUCCCUUUCAAUUUGUACUUCUCCUCUCCACUUCCCUCCUCUUCUCUAAUUCUCUCCUCUCUCCCCUCCCUAUAUUUUUUCUACUUUAUUACUUUCUUCGAUUAUCCACUCCUAUCUUCCCCACUCAAUACUUUCAUUUCAUGCUCCUAUCCUCUAAUCUUUCACCCAAUUUCUCUCUCAUUUGCUCUUGUCUUCCUGUUUUCUCUGUUUUAACAGGGUGUCCCGUGCUUGCCUCACUCUGUCUGUCUCUCUCUCACAGUCUUCUCAGGUUCUCACCUCAUUCUCAUGUUUUCUCUCACUGGGAGCAGUUCUCAGCUGAAAAGUUCCUCAUUGUUUGCCUCCACUGACUUUUCAGCAUCCCUCCAUCUCUGCAGGAGUGUACUUGCUGAUGCCUGCAGACGUGAUUUACUACGCCUCAUUCCAACAUGUCGGCUGACUCACAACUUACUCACCGCAAACUUACCUUCAUAAAUGCUGCCCUGUGCAUGUGCAAUGGCAAUUACUUAAAAGGACGUUCUUCACAUAUGCUCAAACACCAGGUACUGCUGCACAGAUGGCUUCAUUCAUUAUCCCAGUAUGAUCACAUGACUUUGACGGUCCACACCAAUGAGUUGACUGACACCUUCAUUGGCCAGUCAGAUCCCCAGACUUCCCUCCUGCUUCCCAAUGCCUCCGAUGCCUGUACAGUUGGAGUCCUGUCACUUCCCUGGACUCAGUGGUGCUAAUACAUCAUGUGACGGUCCGUCUGGAAGUCCUGCAUGCGCGACUCGUAAAUGUAUAGAUCAGGACGGGUGACAGUCUCACGGCCCUGCGGUAAAAACCUCACGGCAAUGAUGGAUGUGGACCCCAGAGGGAACAUCAGCAAGCAGCUAUUAAUCAAAUGCACAACAGGAAACAGCACUUCUGCUUGACAUGGGUUUUUGUGCUACAAGACUCGAAUUAGAGGAUGAGUUACAGGAGAAAUCAGAUCACUCGCUGCCAAAAAUCACUCUGGAUCAGUAGAUUUUGCCCAGUUUUCUACAAUAUCUGAACAUUUUAAAGUUUUUGCAAAAUGGGCAACAAUAAUUCACCACAAAUCAAGGUCUUCAAAGAUCUUAAGUUGGAGAAGAACAUCUUAAAUUCAUAAAAUCAUAAUUCAUAAAAUUCAUUAAAAAAUUACCCAUUAUGUUUUGUCUUCACAUAAACAUAGAUGCUAAAUAAUAUUAUUUAAAAAUCAAGUGCAUUUAUGCUUAAAAUUAGAGCAAACAUCUGCCAAUGGGAAAGCUUGUUUUCAUUUUGAGAAGAUCUUUUUUUUCUGGCUCGGCUGGCAGAUAUUUGUUCUUAUUUUGAUCAUAAACUCACUUAAUUUUGAUGAUUUUCAUGUCCACCUCCAUUUAUUCCCUAAACGUUCUUUGCUUGGUUUUCAAAAUGCCUUAAAUAUUCCUUCUUCAUCUUCAAUCUUCAGAAACGGUGUGAUGUAUCUGUAAGAAAAAAAAUGAGACAAUUUUAAAAUAUAUUUUGCGUCUCAAAUAAAUAUGUCUUGUUUUAAGGGUGUUCAGAUGCCUUACUAGAAAACAAGACAAAAUACUGAUUAAGAAAAUGUAGUUUUACAGUGCAAUUGACAAGGCAAAUAAACAGAGAUGGAG